AAAGCUUUUGUAUGUCAAGUCACGAUCAAAUAGUUAAUCAAACAGCAAGAAAAAAGGGAGGUCUGGAUUUAGAUGUCAUGAAACUGUGACAAACUGAAAACCUCCUUUGGCGUAUUCUUCUGCAACACCAGGUAUGAGGUAUGGUGCAAUGGAGGGGAAGAGUCCAGCUUGCUUCACAACUCUUGUCUGGAGCUGCCUUACCUCUCAAGCUUUUAUUGUAUUUUGAAGUGUAAACGCAAGGUUUUAUAUCCUAUGUUUCCUAAGAUCGGAGGUUUGGGGAUCCUAGGAGCGUGUUUCUGGUGAAUUUUUUUUUUCUGAGAGAACUUUAUCACAAGCAGUCGGGUGGACUCUGGCGCAGCUGAAAUGUCUGAUACCAAGGCAAAUGACAUUCCUUGAAAAUGAUGGCCAUGAAAUG